UAGUAGCUGUUGCUUCUGUUCUCUGGAACGUCUUUAAUCCUAGGUUCAGAUACAAAGACUGAGCUCUGGGACCAUGAUCCUAGUUUGUCCUUGAAAUAUGAGGCUGGUGACUGGAGUAACCCUGUUUCUGACCUUGGGGACUGCGAUUGAUGCUAAGACCACUCAACCAAGCUCCAUGGAUUAUGCUGAAGGAGAUGAUGUAAACCUACCUUGUAACCACUCUACCAUCAGUGUAGAUGAUUAUAUACAUUGGUAUCGGCAAAAUCCCAAUCAGAGUCCACAGUAUAUAAUUCAUGGCUUACGAAACACUGUGAACAACAGCAUAGCUUCUCUGACCUUUGCAACGGACAGAAAGUCCAGUACCUUGAUCCUGCGCCAGGUCACACUGAGAGACACCACUGUGUACUACUGCAUCUUUGCUGUAAUAGUGUGUAAGGGAGUUGAUCCUGUCUUUGGAUUUGGUGGUCCGGUGAAAUGGAAGAGAGGAAUUGUGCUGAUUGACGGCAUUUAUAAAAGAGCUUUAGAAUAA